AACGCACAUUGCGCCCUUUGGCAUUCCGAGGGGCAUGCCUGUCCGAACGUCGUCGAGUCCACUCAAGCCUGGCUUGGUGUUGGGCGCCGGGGCCAGCGCCCCGCGCCUCAAUCCCGCCGGCCGGAACCUCCGACUCUCAGCGUUGUGGAAACGACCGCUGGCGAGGGUGGAGUGCCGCGCCGUCAGAAAAUCCGCCCCCCGGGGCAAGUUAUGGGUUGACUUCGGAUCAGGUAGGGAUACCCGCUGAACUUAA
rnacentral:misc_RNA from 1 species